rnacentral:rRNA from 1 species
GACGAACGCUGGCGGCGUGCCUAAUACAUGCAAGUAGAACGCUGAAGAGAGGAGCUUGCUCUUCUUGGAUGAGUUGCGAACGGGUGAGUAACGCGUAGGUAACCUGCCUUGUAGCGGGGGAUAACUAUUGGAAACGAUAGCUAAUACCGCAUAACAAUAGGUGACACAUGCCAUUUAUUUGAAAGGGGCAAUUGCUCCACUACAAGAUGGACCUGCGUUGUAUUAGCUAGUAGGUGAGGUAACGGCUCACCUAGGCGACGAUACAUAGCCGACCUGAGAGGGUGAUCGGCCACACUGGGACUGAGACACGGCCCAGACUCCUACGGGAGGCAGCAGUAGGGAAUCUUCGGCAAUGGGGGCAACCCUGACCGAGCAACGCCGCGUGAGUGAAGAAGGUUUUCGGAUCGUAAAGCUCUGUUGUAAGUCAAGAACGAGUGUGAGAGUGGAAAGUUCACACUGUGACGGUAGCUUACCAGAAAGGGACGGCUAACUACGUG